UACGUAGGGUGCAAGCGUUGUCCGGAAUUAUUGGGCGUAAAGAGCUCGUAGGCGGUUUGUCGCGUCUGCUGUGAAAACUCGGGGCUCAACUCCGAGCUUGCAGUGGGUACGGGCAGACUAGAGUGCGGUAGGGGAGACUGGAAUUCCUGGUGUAGCGGUGGAAUGCGCAGAUAUCAGGAGGAACACCGGUGGCGAAGGCGGCCUUCUGGACAGUGACUGACGCUGAGACGCGAAAGCGUGGGGAGCAAACAGG
rnacentral:rRNA from 1 species